rnacentral:rRNA from 1 species
GCAAGUCGAACGAUGAUGCCCAGCUUGCUGGGUGGAUUAGUGGCGAACGGGUGAGUAACACGUGAGUAACCUGCCCCUGACUCUGGGAUAAGCGUUGGAAACGACGUCUAAUACUGGAUAUGAUCACUGGCCGCAUGGUCUGGUGGUGGAAAGAUUUUUUGGUUGGGGAUGGACUCGCGGCCUAUCAGCUUGUUGGUGAGGUAAUGGCUCACCAAGGCGACGACGGGUAGCCGGCCUGAGAGGGUGACCGGCCACACUGGGACUGAGACACGGCCCAGACUCCUACGGGAGGCAGCAGUGGGGAAUAUUGCACAAUGGGCGAAAGCCUGAUGCAGCAACGCCGCGUGAGGGAUGACGGCCUUCGGGUUGUAAACCUCUUUUAGUAGGGAAGAAGCGAAAGUGACGGUACCUGCAGAAAAAGCACCGGCUAACUACGUGCCAGCAGCCGCGGUAAUACGUAGGGUGCAAGCGUUGUCCGGAAUUAUUGGGCGUAAAGAGCUCGUAGGCGGUUUGUCGCGUCUGCUGUGAAAUCCCGAGGCUCAACCUCGGGCUUGCAGUGGGUACGGGCAGACUAGAGUGCGGUAGGGGAGAUUGGAAUUCCUGGUGUAGCGGUGGAAUGCGCAGAUAUCAGGAGGAACACCGAUGGCGAAGGCAGAUCUCUGGGCCGUAACUGACGCUGAGGAGCGAAAGCAUGGGGAGCGAACAGGAUUAGAUACCCUGGUAGUCCAUGCCGUAAACGUUGGGCGCUAGAUGUAGGGACCUUUCCACGGUUUCUGUGUCGUAGCUAACGCAUUAAGCGCCCCGCCUGGGGAGUACGGCCGCAAGGCUAAAACUCAAAGGAAUUGACGGGGGCCCGCACAAGCGGCGGAGCAUGCGGAUUAAUUCGAUGCAACGCGAAGAACCUUACCAAGGCUUGACAUACACCGGAAACGGCCAGAGAUGGUCGCCCCCUUGUGGUCGGUGUACAGGUGGUGCAUGGUUGUCGUCAGCUCGUGUCGUGAGAUGUUGGGUUAAGUCCCGCAACGAGCGCAACCCUCGUUCUAUGUUGCCAGCGGGUUAUGCCGGGGACUCAUAGGAGACUGCCGGGGUCAACUCGGAGGAAGGUGGGGAUGACGUCAAAUCAUCAUGCCCCUUAUGUCUUGGGCUUCACGCAUGCUACAAUGGCCGGUACAAAGGGCUGCGAUACCGUAAGGUGGAGCGAAUCCCAAAAAGCCGGUCUCAGUUCGGAUUGAGGUCUGCAACUCGACCUCAUGAAGUCGGAGUCGCUAGUAAUCGCAGAUCAGCAACGCUGCGGUGAAUACGUUCCCGGGCCUUGUACACACCGCCCGUCAAGUCAUGAAAGUCGGUAACACCCGAAGCCGGUGGCCUAACCCU